ACAAUAAGAAUAGCCAAAACAUAAACAUCACACAAAUUAAGCAGCCCAACACACAAGAAAUACUUGUAAAAUAAAUGGCUGCACCAAUUCAUAUCUCACGACCAUCUAUUCUCCAGCCAAGGAAAACCACCCUUACCAACCGUAGCUACAAUGGUCCAACAACUCUAUCUCUCCACCAUAGGAAGCCUCUCUCACUCUCCUUCGCCUCGCUUUCGUCGGAAUCGUCCUCCACGGAGCUCGAAAAGCCCGAAAUCGAGCUCGAAUUCGUCGGGCCUAAAGCAGGAGAUGAUGGAUCAUAUCCUAUGGAUAGAGCAAGAGUAGUGAGUGGUGAGAAGUUGCUAAGGAACAUUAUGGCUGAUAACAAGAUUGAGCUUUAUGCCACCUAUGGUAAGGUGAUGAAUUGUGGAGGUGGCGGAAGUUGUGGAACAUGCAUUGUUGAGAUUUUGGAUGGAAAGGAUCUUCUGAACGAAAGAACAAAUGCUGAACUCCGAUACUUGAAGAAGAACGGAGGAAGUAUUUAACAAUGCAACAUCAUACUAAGGAUGUCUUUGCCUAGUGGUUAAGAUGGAGGUGUUGUGAAGGAUAGUCACAGAAACCUGAAUCAUGGAGGCUCGCUUGCCAAACAAUUGUUGGAAAUAAAGAAAAUUCUGGCAAGGUUGUUGUUCAAAGGCUGCCUCAGUGGAAGAAAUGACAAGAACAGACGAACUCAACGAGUCAAAGGAAUACUUCUAUAUGCCACACAUUCAAUUUAUCCUCUUCAUAUAGAUUAUUCUCUAAGUUUUGACAGUUACAUUGUAGAAUUAAUUUUUAUCUCGUUAAAUACUUUCUUCGAUUUAUUAUAAUUGCAACAUUUUGACUUUUCUAUUAUUCAUAA